rnacentral:rRNA from 1 species
UCGAGAAUCUUGGGCAAUGGGCGAAAGCCUGACCCAGCAAUGCCGCGUGCGGGAUGAAGGUCUUCGGAUUGUAAACCGCUGUCACUGGGGACGAAUUUUGACGGUACCUGGAGAGGAAGACACGGCUAACUACGUGCCAGCAGCCGCGGUAAUACGUAGGUGUCGAGCGUUGUUCGGAUUCAUUGGGCGUAAAGGGUCCGUAGGGGGUUGGUUAAGUCUGAUGUGAAAUCCCGGAGCUCAACUCCGGAACUGCAUUGGAAACUGACUGACUAGAGCAUCGGAGAGGAGAUUGGAAUUCCAGGUGUAGCGAUAAAAUGCGUAGAUAUCUGGAAGAACACCGAAAGCGAAGGCAGAUCUCUGGACGAUUGCUGACCCUCAGGGACGAAAGCGUGGGGAGCAAACA